GGCGGUGGCGGCGCCGCUAACCGCUGCCCGGCGAACGGCAGUGCCCGCCCAGCAGCUGUGCCGCUGGGGCCGCCGCUGCCUCCUCUCGCUCGCCCUCCCGGUCCCUCCGGCCCGGCCCGCCCCCCGCGGAGAUGCUGCCGCCGCUCCGAAAAGCCCUGAGGCGCGAGCAGCUGGCCGCGGCGCUGGCCGGUGCUGAAGCUCAGGCUGUGGCCGAUGCUCCUAACGCCGCUGCCGCCACCGCUACGGGCGCCACUGUUGUUGUGAAGCCCCGACGCCGCCGCUCACUCCGCCAUGUUGCCGCCCCCUGCCUGCGGUACCGGCCACUGCGCCUGCGCAGAGCCUCCGGGGGCGGAACCCUCGUGCACCCCCUCUUUUGCCCUGCCCUCCUUCUCCUUCCACCCACCCAGCCCGACACCCCUCGUCCCUCCCCCAACCACCCUGAACGGAUAGACAGGAGGAGGUUCAUCAUCUUCGUCGUCGCAUCCAGCAGCUGCUACUGCCAGUGCCAGGUGCCUUGUAAGCCCGAGUCUCCUGGAGGCUUCCCUCUAACUCCAGGCUUGCUGGUACAUGCCUGGAUCACAUUUGUGCUUGGGCUGGGACAUUUCCUGCUAUCAACACCAGAAGCAGCUAGAAAACCAAAGAUCAAGGUGCUGGUGCCAGUGGUCAUUCUCCUUCCUGGUUGGAAGCUCCCUGGAGGGGGAUUUGUGGCAGCAGAAUUCUCACAUUCUCGAGGUGCUGAGGUGUGAGGAGACGGAGUGGGGAGCAUUAACUGUUGGAAGGAUCCCUUUUAUGGAUGCGUUACAUCGGGAACUAGCUAUCAGAGCAACUGGGGAGAAAUGGAAAACAGGUGCAGAAACAGCACGCAAGAGAGGAGGACCCGUGAGCUAUGUCUCUCCACGACUGGUGUUGGUGUCAGCUGCAAGAAACCAGCAGACAGAGUUGGGAAGCAAAUGUCAGAGCUCCUUCUCCUGGUUCCUGUGGGGUGAGGGCCAAGAAUACAAACUAGAGACCUCUGGGGUGAUACCUUACUUCAAUUAAGAAUGACCUGAAUCAGCUCCUUGCAGGACAGACAAACAAUCAGCCAGUGUGAACCACAUGAAGACCCAAGAUGUUGGAUGAAUCAGAUCAGCCUGAAAAAUUCAUCUGGUGACUCCGGGAACUGACCGUCAGCCAGAGGAACAUCUGAGAUGUCGCACGCAGCACCCAGGCAUUCGGACGAGCCACUGGCAUUAAGAAAGUUGCAGUGACAUUUCCCCGCAGCCUAUGCUUCCUUCCUGGCUCCUGGUAAGAAUGGCCAAGUACAUCCACAUGUGUCUACCCACUGCCCGGACAAAUCCAGCGCCACAUUCAAGACAGAUGUUUGUCCUUUGCAGCUUUUAUUUUUAGAGGCACGUUGUGUGGAAGUAAUGUCCAUUGGACUGGUUAUUUAUUUUGCUUUCUGCUUCAGGGAUGUUGAUAAAGAGUGAGGAUCUAAAUCAUUGCUUCCCCUCAACCAACUCACAGAAGGUGUCCUGGUGCAUUUUAUGUCCUGAGGGCAAAUGAAAAUUAUGUGUUGUGUGUGGCAAUUAUUUUCUAUGUUGCUGCUCCUUUCCCGGCAUAUAGAUGCGUCAAGAGGGUGACUGGUUAUCAGCUGGCAGGGGGAGGGGCGGGUGUGAGGGCAGA